CUUAAUUGCAUUCGCAAGCACAUCCAUAUUGGAGCUAAGGUAAAAAAUGACAUUGUAAUUUUGUUAAUAUUUUUUGUAUUGAUGUACUAUUGUGAAUAAUGUGCAUGUUGCUGUAAAUAUUAUAUUUGUAGAUAAACCAUUGCCCGUCUUAGACAUUGAAAAAAAUAUAUUUUCAAGCAACGCUUUCCCCUCAAUAUUUUCCCGCAAACGCUUUCCCUCCAUAUGUUCCGCCACCCGUUUCCCGCCAACCCCUUCCCGCCAUAUCUUCCUGCCACCCGUUUCUCGCCAUAUGUUCCCGCCAACCCUUUCCCUCCAUAUCGCAGUCGUUCUUUCCCGCCAUUUUCUCCUCUUUACCUAUAAAACCCCCUUCAGACGGAGGUGGAUAAGCAUUCGAGUGUAGUGUAGUCGAGAUGUCCCAUUAUCCUUUCGAUUGUAGUUUUCACCCUGGGAUGAGUAGCACUCUUCUGAGGCUAGCUACCGAUUUCAGGAUGGACAAUAGGAUAGUUCCAUGGGACGAUCUCACCGGUAGUGACACCAUAAUGAAUGAGUUGGCUCACCAAUUACGUAGGUCUGGGUGGCCUGAAAGGACCUAUGAGGAGGUACGUAAAGAACUUCUUAGGUUGGAUGCAAGGUGGAAGAAGGUUGUGGAGACGAAGAGUGAAACUUUUAGAAGGACUGCAGAAAACCAUCCAUUUUUAUGGACUGAGGAGAGCGAGGACGAAGAUGAUAUCUUCAUGCCGCCGCUUCCGGGUUCUGCAUCGUCAAAGGGCAAGAGUUCUGCAUCAUCCAAGGGCAAGAGUACUGCAUCCUCGAAGGGCAAGAGUUCUUCAUCGUCCAAGGGUAAGAGUUCUGCAUCCUCGAAGGGCAAGAGUUCUGCAUCGACGGAGGAUGACGAUGAUGCCUUCAUGUAGUUUUUAAGCUGUAUUCCAGUUGUACCGUUUAAUUCAGAUGUACUUGCAUUAUUAAUUUGUACUCUCUUAUUGUAAGGCAUUAUGUUCUGUCUUAAUUUCAUUUUAUAGUUGUUGCACGAUGCUCGAUAAUUAGUGGAGGGAAAGAAAAUGCCACUACU
rnacentral:lncRNA from 1 species